UAGUCCACGCCGUAAACGAUGUCUACUAGCCGUUGGGGUACUUGAGACCUUAGUGGCGCAGCUAACGCACUAAGUAGACCGCCUGGGGAGUACGGCCGCAAGGUUAAAACUCAAAUGAAUUGACGGGGCCCGCACAAGCGGUGGAGCAUGUGGUUUAAUUCGAUGCAACGCGAAGAACCUUACCAGGUCUUGACAUCCUGAAACUUUCCAGAGAUGGAUUGGUGCCUUCGGGAAUUCAGUGACAGGUGCUGCAUGGCUGUCGUCAGCUCGUGUCGUGAGAUGUUGGGUUAAGUCCCGUAACGAGCGCAACCCUUGUCCUUAGUUGCCAGCACAUAAUGGUGGGAACUCUAAGGAGACUGCCGGUGACAAACCGGGAGGAAGGUGGGGACGACGUCAAGUCAUCAUGGGCCCUUAGACCUGGGGCUACACACGUGCUACAAUGGGAACGCACAAAGGGGCUGCAAAGGGCNCGAGCUGGGAGCGAAUCCCANAAAACGUUUCG
rnacentral:rRNA from 1 species